rnacentral:rRNA from 1 species
CAAAGUGGGGGACCUUCGGGCCUCAUGCCAUCAGAUGUGCCCAGAUGGGAUUAGCUAGUAGGUGGGGUAACGGCUCACCUAGGCGACGAUCCCUAGCUGGUCUGAGAGGAUGACCAGCCACACUGGAACUGAGACACGGUCCAGACUCCUACGGGAGGCAGCAGUGGGGAAUAUUGCACAAUGGGCGCAAGCCUGAUGCAGCCAUGCCGCGUGUGUGAAGAAGGCCUUCGGGUUGUAAAGCACUUUCAGCGGGGAGGAAGGCGUUAAGGUUAAUAACCUUGGCGAUUGACGUUACCCGCAGAAGAAGCACCGGCUAACUCCGUGCCAGCAGGCGCGGUAAUACGGAGGGUGCAAGCGUUAAUCGGAAUUACUGGGCGUAAAGCGCACGCAGGCGGUCUGUCAAGUCGGAUGUGAAAUCCCCGGGCUCAACCUGGGAACUGCAUUCGAAACUGGCAGGCUAGAGUCUUGUAGAGGGGGGUAGAAUUCCAGGUGUAGCGGUGAAAUGCGUAGAGAUCUGGAGGAAUACCGGUGGCGAAGGCGGCCCCCUGGACAAAGACUGACGCUCAGGUGCGAAAGCGUGGGGAGCAAACAGGAUUAGAUACCCUGGUAGUCCACGCCGUAAACGAUGUCGAUUUGGAGGUUGUGCCCUUG